GAAAACAGGCUGAUACCGCCCAAGAGUUCAUAUCGACGGCGGUGUUUGGCACCUCGAUGUCGGCUCAUCACAUCCUGGGGCUGAAGUAGGUCCCAAGGGUAUGGCUGUUCGCCAUUUAAAGUGGUACGCG
rnacentral:rRNA from 1 species